UGCCACGUCAGCACUGGAUAUCUCUAUCUCUAUCAAUAUCUCCAACUCAUCCUUCCCUCCCUACCAUGGCAAUGGCUAUCAAGCGUGAACACUGAACUGUCAUUGAUCCAUAAUUCAUUCCCUCGCAACUUCCAAAUGCAGCCUGCUGCACUUUCAUCUCAUUUUCCGCACUCCACUCUCCUACCAAAUGCAAACCUUCGAUUAUGCGGCCUUCGCCUCCAUGGUCGGGAACUUCGCCUUGCUCCAAGGAGAUCUCCUCCACCGAGGCGGCGCUUGCUCUUGCUGCUGGCUUCUGCUACAUCCAAGAGUGCUCCGAGGUCCUUCGAUUACGACCUUGUUAUUAUAGGAGCUGGCGUUGGAGGUCAUGGGGCGGCACUGCAUGCCGUUGAAAAAGGUUUCAAAACCGCCAUUAUCGAGGGAGAUGUGAUGGGUGGAACUUGUGUAAAUAGAGGAUGUGUUCCCUCAAAAGCGUUGCUUGCAGUGAGCGGUAGGAUGCGUGAACUACAGGAUGAACAUCACAUGAAAGCUUUGGGUUUGCAGGUUUCAGCUGCUGGAUAUGAUCGACAAGCAGUGGCUGACCAUGCUAAUAAUCUUGCUUUGAAAAUUCGUGGUAAUCUGACUAAUUCAUUGAAUGCACUUGGGGUAGACAUUCUGACAGGAUUUGGCACCAUAGUGGGUCCACACAAGAUCAAGUAUGGGAAGGGUGGUUUUUCUGUCACUGCAAAAGACAUAAUCAUUGCCACAGGUUCAGUUCCUUUUGUUCCCAAAGGAAUUGAAAUUGAUGGGAAGACGGUAUUCACCAGUGAUCAUGCACUUAAACUGGAAUUUGUUCCCAACUGGAUUGCGAUAGUUGGAAGUGGUUAUAUUGGGCUCGAGUUUAGUGAUGUUUAUACUGCUCUUGGUAGUGAAGUUACGUUUAUUGAAGCUCUGGAUCAAUUAAUGCCAGGUUUUGAUCCUGAGAUAAGCAAGUUAGCACAAAGAGUUCUCAUAAACCCACGCAAAAUUGAUUAUUACACUGGAGUAUUUGCAUCCAAGAUUUCUCCUGCCAAAGGUGGAAAACCAGUGAUGAUUGAGCUUAUUGAUGCCAAGACAAAAAGGCUAAAAGAUACGCUGGAGGUGGAUGCAGCAUUAAUUGCAACAGGAAGGGCUCCAUUCACAAAAGGUUUAGGACUGGAGAAUAUUAACGUGGAGACUCAACGUGGUUUUGUUCCUGUUGAUGAACGAAUGAGAGUGAUUGAUGCGACUGGAAAAUCAGUGCCACACUUAUACUGCAUUGGUGAUGCUAAUGGCAAAUUGAUGCUUGCUCAUGCUGCAAGUGCUCAAGGAAUAUCUGUAGUUGAGCAACUUGCUGGAAAGGAUCACGUUCUCAACCAUUUGAGCAUUCCUGCAGCUUGUUUUACUCACCCUGAAAUCAGUAUGGUUGGAUUGACUGAGCCUCAGGCAAGGGAAAAGGCUAAAAAUGAGGGUUUUUCGAUAAGUAUCGCCAAAACAAGUUUCAAGGCUAACACCAAAGCCCUUGCUGAAAAUGAAGGAGAAGGACUCGCUAAGUUAAUAUACAGACCUGACAAUGGUGAGAUUCUUGGGGUUCACAUUUUUGGGAUGCACGCUGCAGACCUCAUACAUGAAGCAUCUAAUGCUAUGGCAUUAGGCACACGAGUUCAGGACAUAAAGUUUGCUGUUCAUGCACAUCCUACCUUAUCCGAAGUUCUUGAUGAGCUCUACAAGUCAGCCAAGGUGAAUUACCAUGCUGCCAACCCAGUAAGUGAACCUGUUGUUGUGUAGGCUAGGACUUCUAUUAUCAAAUUAAAUAGUGUAUAGAGCAGGUUGUGUGGAAUAUUUGAGGAUUUAAGAAUUGUGCAAACAAUCCAUGAAGACACUCCAAUGGUGUGGGUUUAUCUGAAAGCCUGUUCUUCGGUGAUCAGCAUUGAUCCAAUCCAUCAACUUAUUGCAUGACAAGCUAAACAGAGAAGACAUCGACAAGAUUUAACCCGUGACCAUAUCCACAUGCAAGUAAAGGCAAUACCUUGCUUUGAAGCCCAUCAAAGGAUAUGCAUGCAUAAUGUAUGCUUCAUUCAUCGAUCAAAUUUGACCACAUUUUGCUUAUGUAAAUAGUAGUAAUAGUAACUCAAGUCAUCUGCAAA